GGUCACGCCGGCCGCGCCGACCACUCUAGUCGCAGUUGUGACAACGCCUACUUGGUCAUGCCGACCGCACCGACUUCUUCGAUUAUGGAGGGGGACAUAGGUGAGGUCCCCUCGGUCGUAGUUCCUCUUGGAUUGGAGGUCUCCGCAACUGGUGGCGCUCCAGCGGUGGGGCCGUCCAUUGGCUCAAUGGCCCCGCCGCCCCUAGCCCCUCGCUAUUGAGUGCGACGAAGGCAGGCUACUCGAGCAAGGUAGCAUCGGUGAUGGUGGUGGUCGUCCCGACUGGCUCAUCCAGUGGCGCUGCAGUAAUGGAGACAGCCAAGGUUCUACCUCCUCCACCUCCUACCACGCAAAUGGUGGUGCUCCCCACGCUGCUUGCCCCAAGGGAAGGAUCUAGGGAUCCCCCUCUUUUACUAUUGAGGGCUCAAAGGCAGAGGAGCAGAGGUUGGUCAAGGGGGCCUCCGUCCGGGCUACCAAAAGCUUGGAGAUAAUCGAGGGCUCCCUCGUCGCUAUUGGGGAGGCGGUGGCGAUUGCCCGUGCGUCAAUUACAUGGGAGAUGCUCCCCUUCGGCACGUGACUCCAGUGCUGACGUCAUCUGUAGCGAUGCCUGACAAGACCCAUUGGACAGAGCCAAGUGAUACUGAGACCGUAUGUGGCGAUGUCUCAUCCCAUUGCGAGACACUCAUUGCCAGACACUCUAUCACCCCCCCUCCGGCGUGUCGUGGCGUCAUCCGAGACAAUGUGUGGUGGUGACGUGUCUAACUGUGGCUGACGUGGGGUAAUCGUGCCUGCCCUACCUCUACGUCAGGGGGUACAUGUGUGCUCCUAUCGUGCGCGUGACAGGAGGGCAUGUCAUGGGCCACAGGUGUACUGGCCACCGUUGUAGGCAUGUGCCUCUUCGCCUCGCUGGGUUGUUCGGUAGGACCUGGUCGGUCGUCCCGCCUUAUAGAGUUGCUCGACCGGUCCACCUUGCAGAGUUGCUCGGCAGGACUUGGUCGGUUAGUCCGUCUCGCAGAGUUGCUCGAUAGAACCUUGUCGGCCGGUCUACCUCGUUGGGCUGCUCGGUAGGACCUGGUCAGCCGGUCCUGCCCAGCGGUAGGACCUGCUCAGUCGAUUCGCCUCACAGAUUUGCUCGGCAAGACCUAGUCGACCUAGGUGGGUCGUCGUAAGUUAUAGGCUUAAUUUGGGUACCCCGUUUCUGGGUAGCCAUCACAAAUUUAUUCGAUAGAAAAUUAGGUCAACUUAAUUAAUCUAUGCCUAAAUUAUGAUUAUUAGAAUGAAAUUCAAUUCAAAGAAUCCAAAAGUGCCUUAGAGACGCCUUAAUAGACUCACGCCAAGAGACGGGUUAUACAUACGCUAAUAUAAGGUCACAACUCACAACGGAGGACACCGGUGAUUAUGUUCGGAUGGCAACCGGAUGUGCAGAUUUGCUACUUUCCACAUGUUCAUUGAUUUCAGCAAUCGAAACGAUACUGUACCUUGCCAAAGAAAAUAAAAACAGGCAUGUAUGACAUGUCGUAGCAUAUGUUGUCA